rnacentral:rRNA from 1 species
UUGAACGCUGGCGGCAUGCCUUACCCAUGCAAGUCGCACGGCAGCAUGAUCUAGCUUGCUAGAUUGAUGGCGAGUGGCGAACGGGUGAGUAAUACAUCGGAACGUGCCCUGUAGUGGGGGAUAACUAGUCGAAAGAUUAGCUAAUACCGCAUACGACCUGAGGGUGAAAGUGGGGGACCGCAAGGCCUCAUGCUAUAGGAGCGGCCGAUGUCUGAUUAGCUAGUUGGUGAGGUAAAGGCUCACCAAGGCGACGAUCAGUAGCUGGUCUGAGAGGACGAUCAGCCACACUGGGACUGAGACACGGCCCAGACUCCUACGGGAGGCAGCAGUGGGGAAUUUUGGACAAUGGGCGAAAGCCUGAUCCAGCAAUGCCGCGUGUGUGAAGAAGGCCUUCGGGUUGUAAAGCACUUUUGUCCGGAAAGAAAUGGCUCUGGUUAAUACCUGGGGUCGAUGACGGUACCGGAAGAAUAAGGACCGGCUAACUACGUG